GAGAGGAAACAGGUGAUUGGUUGAGCUGUCGGCUGUCAUAUCAGCAGGGUGUAUCUUUGUUACACGCACACAGACACACACAUUCAAAACACACACACACACACGCUGACUUGUCUGUGCCAUCAACCUAUACGCCUACAAACUGCAGCAAGGCACAAACAAAAGGUACCUCCAAAGCACACACACACACACACACACACACUCAGAUUUGAGACGAGAUGUGGUGUGUUAGGUGCGCUGACCCUGCCAAUGAGGACAGGAGGAACAUCAACGGAGCUACAAGGCCGUUGCUAUGACAACUAGCCCCGCUCACACAGGUAGGAAGCACAAUGGGCCUAAGCUGUUAUAUGUUCACAUUCCCUCUGUUUGUCACUCACUCUCUCAAACACACACACACACACACACACUACCAUGCACUCAAGACAAGUCUGACAGACAGCGGCUGAAUGCCAAGGUAAGGCCAUUUCCUUUUCAUUCCAGCAUUCAGAGGGUUGAAAUUAUUCAUUAUGUCCAAGUGGACCUGCCAAUAAGAGAACUCACUCUUCAACCAGCCACUGAGAGAGUGAGACUGUGUGAGUGAGAAACAGACAGACAGACAGACAGACAGACAGAGCAUCACUCUGCAUACUAACAGCACCUGCACUAGGGCAGCCUGUGCACGUCUCUGAGGGGCCCUUAAAUAACGAACUGUCACUGCCCAGACACUGACAUUGACUUCUCUCAUCCCCUCUUCUUCUCCUUUCUUUCACUUCCUCUGCACCCUCUCUCUCUCCUUUUUUUCUUUGCACCCCCUCCCUCCUUUUCUACUAAACCACAGACAAGAGCUGAUAAUCACCACCAUGAGUAUGCCUUGUCUCCAACACACUGCCUCUGUUGCCACUGCAGGAUGUGCUGCUGCUGCGUCCUGCCUUACUGCCGUGACAGAUCUGGGGGGCUGCCGAGAAGGAAACCAGAGGGCUGGAUGGAUGCUCUGCUUCAGAAAAACAUCUGUCCGCCAGCAGGAGUUGUGCUCACAGCUACAUCUCUACUACGUGCACACUGAUAUGUAAAUAUAUAGAUAUUCGAAAAGUCCCAUCAAGCUGACCCACAGGUAAAAAUCUGUGCAGACAGAAAAUGAACAGAAGAGAACGUGUGUGUGGGUCUGUGUUUGUGUGUCAGCAGUGUGACAGUACCCGGGGUGCUACUGUACACUGCUGCCCUACCUUCACUGUACAUAUAUAUUCAGUGAUAAUGAGGCUAAGAGGUGAGAAUCUUGUAAAUAGUGAGGAAAAACAGGUGAGGGUACACUGGGUUCACUGCGCGCGCACGGAACUACACUGAGCGCACGCGCGCGUGUGUAUGUGUGUGUGAGCGCACGCGAGUGUGUCUGAACAUCAUCAUUUAAGGUCUAACCACACACGCUGCAUGCCCACAGUAAAGCCCAGAUGACCCAGCAGCACGAGCGGCACCCAUGCAGAGCUCCGUCCAGGUGACUGCGCCGAUGAGUGUGCCUGACUUUAACUCACCUGUGCAGCCAUGUCGACCAGCUGAGGCAGCUUCAAACUCUGCCCCUCUCCAUCUUUCAAGAAGUCCAGCAAACUUCCUAAAGUAAAAAAGUUAUAGGAAAGUCUCAGAACACGCCCAGAAAAAUACAGAGAAUCUGGUUUUGGUAGGGAUUCAGCGUUUUGUUUAGCGGGGAAUCAUGGGGGGGGGGCCUUAACUCUGACCUUCCACUUCACACAGUGCCACCUUAAGUCACCAUCCCUUCUGCCAAUUCAUUAUUGUGUGGCGUGAAAGCCUUCGCUGGUGACUGCUUAGGUUUUUGUUCUCGGUAGUUUGUUUGAUGCCGAGCAAGCAGGAUAUCUGAAAAAUGUCCUUUUGAAAGAUGGAUGAAAGUUAAGAGUGGCAGCCAAUUAAAAAUAAUUAUUAGUGCAGGUCUGGAAGUGUGGUCUACUUAUUUAUUUAUUUAUUUACUAGAAAGAUUUCAUUACAAGAUAGGGAGUUUCUGAGAACCAGCUUUAAUUUCCCAAGAACUACUGCACUUAAUUAAAGAAAUCUACCCAUUAUUAUUUGUUUAUACGUUUAUCCUGGUAAUAUGUGUUUAUUAUUUUGUUCUGUAGGUGUAUUAUGAUGACAAAUUCAGAGGUUUGUCACCUCAUUUAGGGAGGUAAAAGCCAGUCAAAUUUAUGGGGCGUUCAAAUGUUCAUUGAGGCUUCUACCUGCUGUAAGGGCAGCGUUUCAUAUCUACAGUGUGUCAACCUCAUGUGGCGGUUUUACUUUUCC